CCAUGGUCUCACCUGUCAGUGGACUUCCUGACCGAUCUCCCUCCGUCUCAGGGGAACACUACGGUUCUGGUCGUUGUGGAUCGGUUUUCAAAGUCAUGCCAUCUCCUCCCGUUGCCCGGUCUCCCUACGGCUCUGCAGACUGCGGAGGCCCUAUUUACCCACGUCUUCCGGCACUAUGGGGUGCCGGAGGACAUUGUCUCUGAUCGAGGUCCCCAGUUCACGCCCAGGGUAUGGAAGGCGUUUAUGGAGCAUCUGGGGGUCUCGGUUAGCUUGACCUCCGGUUAUCACCCCGAGAGUAAUGGGCAGGCGGGGAGGGUGAACCAGGAGGUGGGCAGGUUUCUGCGGUCGUAUUGCCAGGACCGGCCAGGGGAGUGGGCGAGGUACAUUCCAUUGGCUGAGUUGGACCAGAACUCACUUCGUCACUCCUCCACUAACCUGUCACCUUUUCAGUGUGUGUUGGGUUACCAGCCGGUCCUGGCACCAUGGCACCAGAGCCAGACCGAGGAUCCUGCGGUGGAGGACUGCGUGCAGCGCUCCAAGGAGACCUGGAGAGCCGUCCAGGAAUCUCUGAAGCAAGCCAGUGGAAGGCAGAAGAGGAGUGCUGACCGCCACCGCAGUGAGGCCCUCGUGUUCGUACCGGGGGACAGGGUCUGGCUUUCGACCCGGAACCUGCCCCUCCGCUUGCCCUGCCGGAAGCUGGGGCCACAGUGUGCCGGUGGUAGCUGGUCCCCUGCAGGAAGGUGAGGUACCGGAAGUCCCUCCGGAUCCUCUGGACAUCGGGGGCUCCCCGGCGUAAAGCAUAAGGGCCAUUCUGGACUCGAGACGCCGGGUCAGGGGCCUGCAGUACCUCGUGGACUGGGAGGGUUACGGCCCGGAGGAGAGGUGCUGGGUACCGGUGGAGGACGUCUUGGACCCGUCCCUGUUGAGGGAUUUCCAUCGCCUCCACCCGGAGCACCCUGCGCCUCGCCCUCCGGGUCGCCCUCAAGGCCGGUGUCGGCGCGCUGCGGGAGCCGCGCGUCAGUGGGGGGGUACUGUCACGACUCCUACCGAAGGUGGCCCCCCCUCCUGCUCGGGUGGCGCUCGGCGGUCGUCGUCACCGGCCUACUAGCUGCCACUGAUUCCCUUUUUGUUUUCCCCCUUUUCGUUAUUAGGUGCACCUGUUCUGAGUUGGGCUGAUUAGCGGGCUUUAUUAGCCAGUAGGCCCGCCUGCUCUUUGUGCGGGAUUGUUUCAUUGUAUGCUGUGCGUGGUGACACGCUGUUGUUGUACAUUUCAGUGGUGCAUGUGUUUUGCGCAAGCUGUGUUUUGUCCCUUGUGUUUGGGGCACUUUGUUUUGUUGUGCGCUCUGAGCGCUGUUUG
rnacentral:lncRNA from 1 species